rnacentral:snRNA from 1 species
GUACUCGCUUCGGCGGUACAUAUACUAAAAUUUGAACGAUACAGAGAAGAUUAGCAUGGCCCCUGCGCAAGGAUGACACGCAAAAUCGUGAAGCGUUCCACAAAAAA